rnacentral:rRNA from 1 species
CUUAACCAGAAAGCCCCGGCUAAUUACGUGCCAGCAGCCGCGGUAAUACGUAGGUGGCAAGCGUUAUCCGGAAUUAUUGGGCGUAAAGCGCGCGCAGGCGGUCUCUUAAGUCUGAUGUGAAAGCCCACGGCUCAACCGUGGAGGGUCAUUGGAAACUGGGAGACUUGAGUGCAGGAGAGAAAAGUGGAAUUCCACGUGUAGCGGUGAAAUGCGUAGAGAUGUGGAGGAACACCAGUGGCGAAGGCGGCUUUUUGGCCUGUAACUGACGCUGAGGCGCGAAAGCGUGGGGAGCAAACAGGAUUAGAUACCCUGGUAGUCCACGCCGUAAACGAUGAGUGCUAGGUGUUGGGGGGUUCCACCCUCAGUGCUGAAGUUAACACAUUAAGCACUCCGCCUGGGGAGUACGACCGCAAGGUUGAAACUCAAAGGAAUUGACGGGGGCCCGCACAAGCAGUGGAGCAUGUGGUUUAAUUCGAAGCAACGCGAAGAACCUUACCAGGUCUUGACAUCCUUUGACCACUCUAGAGAUAGAGCUUUCCCCUUCGGGGGACAAAGUGACAGGUGGUGCAUGGUUGUCGUCAGCUCGUGUCGUGAGAUGUUGGGUUAAGUCCCGCAACGAGCGCAACCCUUGACCUUAGUUGCCAGCAUUCAGUUGGGCACUCUAAGGUGACUGCCGGUGACAAACCGGAGGAAGGUGGGGAUGACGUCAAAUCAUCAUGCCCCUUAUGACCUGGGCUACACACGUGCUACAAUGGAUGAUACAAAGGGUUGCGAAGCCGCGAGGCCAAGCCAAUCCCAAAAAGUCAUUCUCAGUUCGGAUUGUAGGCUGCAACUCGCCUACAUGAAGCCGGAAUUGCUAGUAAUCGCGGAUCAGCAUGCCGCGGUGAAUACGUUCCCGGGCCUUGUACACACCGCCCGUCACACCACGAGAGUUUGUAACACCCGAAGUCGGUGGGGUAACCCUUUUGGGAGCCAGCCGCCGAAGGUGAACAGAG